rnacentral:rRNA from 1 species
AUUGAACGCUGGCGGCAGGCUUAACACAUGCAAGUCGAGCGAGCGGCGGACGGGUGAGUAAUGUCUGGGAAACUGCCUGAUGGCUGGGGAUAACUACUGGAAACGGUAGCUAAUACCGCAUACCAUCCGAUGAUCCCAGAUUGGAUUAGCUAGUAGGUGGGGUAAUGGCUCACCUAGGCGACGAUCCCUAGCUGGUCUGAGAGGAUGACCAGCCACACUGGAACUGAGACACGGUCCAGACUCCUACGGGAGGCAGCAGUGGGGAAUAUUGCACAAUGGGCGCAAGCCUGAUGGAGCAAUGCCGCGUGUAUGAAGAAGGCCUUCGGGUUGUAAAGUACUGUCAGCGAGGAGGCGUUACUCGCAGAAGAAGCAACGGCUAACUCCGUGCCAGCAGCCGCGGUAAUAC